rnacentral:lncRNA from 1 species
CUGCUAUUGUAUAUUUAUUCUUAUUUUUACACUUUAAAUUUUUUUUUAUUGGCUAUUCUAAAUGCUUCAUAAAAUAUCUGUGAUGUUUUCUGUUGUAUUGAUGUAUUAUUGAUGUCACCCGUAGUAUUUGUUAUCCGUUGUGCAUUGCUAAAUUCAAAAAUUUCCGCUUGAUUUCCUAGCAUUUCUAAAAUAUGAAAGCCUAGAGAUAAUAGCUAUUUACUUAACUUUUUUUUUUUUAAGUUUGUAAAGUUCUUUUAUCAUAUUAAUAUACAUGCAAC